GGUUCUCUGUAAGAGCAACAAGCGCUCUUAAGCACCCAGUCAUCUCCCCAGCCCUAAAAUCAUAGCCUUAGCAUCUGGUCAGAUAUAUAAAGAGUUGGGAAGUGACCACUCCAUCUACACACUAAAGAAAAAUGCCGAUCGAACCGAAAAUUAGCGGCUUUUGUUAGAGCCAUCAAAGAAUUGCGGUCGGGGUAAACCACUGUCUCAGGAACCACAGUUUACCCACAGCUAGAGCUGUGCUCUGACUGCAGAGCUGAGACUGUCAUCAGCAAAUCGCUAGACUCGACAUGGACAAGCUCACUGCCCGGGAGCCCACAACCCCCCCAGCCCUCUCCUGCUAAGUGCUGGCAUUACAGCGUGUGUCACCGGACCUGGCCCUAAUGUGGACACUACUGAGGGGAUCAAAGAACAGCCAGGGAUCCAGGUGUGGUUGUGAGCACCUGCAAUCUGAGCAGACAAGGGCUAGUCUGGGCUUCCUGUGGCACUGUCUUCGUGACACCUCUAGGGAAGCUGGUAUAUAUAUAUAUAUAUAUAUAUAUAUAUAACAUAUAUAUGUAUAUAUACCAUAUAUAUGUAUAUAUAUAGUUGUUCACAUUGUAUACAUAUAUAAUGUACUUUCAUACUAUCCCCCCAUUAUUCUCACCCCUCCUUCUGAACCCCCUUUUUUCCAACAGUCCCCAGCCUACUGGAUGUGUUGUGUUUCGUUUUGUGGUUUUGGUUCACCGAAUUUAAUUAGGGUUGUUUGCAUGAGAAUGGGUGAAGGGUUAUUUACUCGAGUGAGGUCAGCUUCCUGGUAAACCCGGGUGUGGUGGUUCACACCUUCAAUCCCAGCACUCAGGAUGCAGAGGCAGGUGGAUCUCCGUGAGUGCAAGGCCAGCCUGGUUUACUUAGUGAGCUGAGUUCCCAGACAGCCAGUGCUCUGUAGAAAGGCUCUGUUCAAGGAUCCAGAAUAUUCUGCUACUAUUACUAACACUCCUCUGCCUCCUUUUCCUCCCCAGCAACCAUUAACUGCUCAUGGCUCCUCAGGAAAGUGUGGCCUAUGAGUUCCUUCUCCUUCCAUGAUGGAGUGUAUAAGUGUUGCAGCUCUUAAGGGAAAAGGGUUAACUCAGAGUAGGGAGGAUUUUCCCAAUGUAAGUGCGGCAGCGCUGAAGGAAAUCCUGGCAGUCAGGAGCCUCGGAACAACCACAGAGUCACACCACACAACAAACCUCACACAAGAGAUUUAUUGGAAAAGGCACAAGAGGAUGGCCGCCUCUGCUCCCGCGAGAAGCAGCCAAGAACUGGGCAGGAAGCAGAGCUGGGGACCGAACCCAGGACCUUGAGCUUCCUAGGCAAGCGCUCUACCACUGAGCCAAAUCCCCAACCCCGAUUUUAACAGAUUUUAACAGUGCUUAACACGCACCCAGAGUGCCAAGGAAGUGAAGGUCUCUUUCCUCUCUCUUACUACCUGGUGGUCACAGCAAAGCAGAAACUGAGAAAAGUCCCUGAGUGUCUUCAACAUGGGAGCACUUUCAAAACAGUGGUUUUAAAAUAGGCAGGGCCAUUCUGUUCUUACGAGAAGCCAUUUUAACAAGGAGAUGCAUCGGACUCCAGGCACCUUCCAGUCUCACCUCAGACGAUCGCAAGAGAGCCAGAAGCGAGAGAGAGUCAGAAGGUUGUAUCAAGGUUCCUGAGUAAAACUGCUUGAAGAAGAAGAAGAAGAAGAAGAAGAAGAAGAAGAAGAAGAAGAAGAAGAAGAAGAAGAAGAAGAAGAAGAAGAAGAAGAAGAAAAAAAAAACUCAGCGAUCGCAUCUCUCUCCUCAAACACCCAAUUCUCUUCUUUUAUAAAGGCAUCCAGUGUCCACCCUUCUAGGUUUUAUGUGAUGCAGGGGCCAUUGCCGUUCUCUGUAGCCCCUUCCUGUGCUGUGGUUACCAGAACUUAUUUCUCCCAUGACGUGAACUUAGUGCCCAUUCCUUUCCUCGAUUCCCCCAUUACGGUUUCACGUUCGUCUUCUAUGAGAUCAACACUUAACUUUCUCUUGUUUUGAGAAUCAUCUUCUAGAUGCCUCUGCUUCUGUCCCUUAAAGAUGCUAUUAGGGCACUGCGUUCUACAGUGAGCCCCGCCUUGAGAGCCCAGAUAAGAUCAACACCUGCGAUUCCAGAAACACACUGUAGGAAACGAGGCUCCACAGGCCUUUACAGCCCGGCCCUGCAGAGGCACAGGUCAGGAUGGGUGGGCUCCUCUAAGAGAGGAGGAGCAGAAGGUGGCUACAGUACAUCCAGGGAGAUGGGGAAACUCCAGUGCUGUUGUAGCAUAAGAGCAAGAAGCUCAGGGAGUCGCUAUGUGGGGCCCUGAGGUAAGAUAGGUUGGGAGGUUCUAGAGGACCAAGAGCGCUGGGGAAUCCGGAACGUUCACCUUGGGUUACAGUACCAGUAUCUUUGGAACAAGGAGGCUUCCCAGGCUUCAAGAAGGCAGAAGGAUCAGAAGUGGAGGGUUUGUUUUUAUAUAUCCUUCUGAUAAAGCCCCUUAAAGGAGCUUCAGGAAUAACUGGGGUGCAGGGUGGUAGGCAGUGGGAGCACAGAGUAUAGAAGCCUAAUCUCAAGCCACACAGAACUUGGGUGCAGCCUGAGGCAUACGGGCUUCUGAGGCCCUGUUGCACGUCUUAGGUUUGCUUUCCAGUGGAAGCUGCUACCUGGCAAUGGCAGGUGGGACCCAGGGCUGUGUGGGUGUGGGUGUGUCCUUGAGCUCAUGUAUAUGUAUCUGUGUGUGCAACCUUGGGUGCCAGACCUCAAGAAUGUCUGCCUUGUUUUGUUUUUGAUUUUGAGAGACAGGGUCUUUCACUUGGCCUGUUCCUCACCGAUUAGCCUAGCCCAGCUGGCCAGUGAGCCCCAGGAAUCCACCUGCCUCUGACUCCACAGUACUUACUGGGUUACCAGCAUGCACCACCACAUCCAGCUCUCCCCUGUAGCUUCUGGGACUCUAAGGUCCUCAUGCUUAUACCAACACCCACCCCCACCAGGUGCAAAGUAGGACAUAUGACUCAAGUAUGAAAUAAAAUGAAUGCCUAGCGAA